GAGAGAUCUAUCAUCACUUCAAAACAUGGGUUUAAAAAAAUAUUUACAGUAUUUUAGUCAUCACAUCCAAUGCUUUGUGUCAUUAAGAUCAGACAGGUCAGGGAGUGAAAGGAAUUAAUUCAUGAAUAUAUUAGUCUGUUUGAGCUCAUUAGAGUGAUGAGAUGCUAAUUUAUGACGAGUGAAGGUUUAUUUAUAGCCCAAGAGUGGUUUAAGCACAUCUCUUUAGACUUCUAAGUGAAGGAUAGGGAUCUUAUAUCAUCUCUUUGCAAGCAAUAAGAGUCUGAUUGUCUGUAGCAAAACCCUGGACUCAUGGCCCAUUCUGGUACUUAAACUUUAAGACCCCGCCGUGGAACUGUUUGCUUGGAGAACUCUAGUUUAAUUCCUUCUAACGUGGACACGAGAGGAAUUGUAUCCGUCCGACGUGGACUCAAGAGGCAAAUAAAGAAAAUAAUUGGCUUUUUGGUUUCCAAACAAGAAGCACAACUUCAGCUGAGCAAGACAAAUCCAACCUAUCCCAGAGCUCAUGGGACAGUGGACUAGACUGUUAUAGCCAGAAGUUUAUUCUCAAACCGAAGACACAAUGUAAGUAAAGCACGUUUGAUAUUGCGUUUUUUGAAAAUACCAUCUACUCAAUCCCACUUUUUCUGUACAUUUCAGGUCUGAUAACUUCAUAAAAGUGUGAUUACAUUGCAUUUUCCACAGAAGGAAAAAGUGCUUCAAAGGUCACUAGAGGUUGAAACCCUGCUAAACCUUCACUGCCGAUUGACUUCAUCCCAGUGUGCGGUGGAUCUUUUGUCUCUAUAUGUCGUGUUCCACCCCAGGAGGCUUUUCCUUCACCUCUCCGCUCCUCUGCAAUUAAGGCUGACAGGACAGCUUGCUCUAUUCCGCUGAUGCCAGUACUUAUCAAGACGGAGAGAGAGAGUUCAGGGUGGCUCUCAUACAGGCAAGUCUCUGCUGUCAAUUUGUGAGAUGAAUGGCAGUUUUAAAGCUGUGCAAACAUCUGUUUGAUGCCAUAAAAAAUGGGUAUGUAAAUGCAGCAUGUAAAGACAAGGAAGAACAGACAGAGAGAAAGAUGAGAAUCAUGGAGAUUGUGUUCACAACUCUGCCAGGUUGUUUUGAGUCAAUCACCUGAGAUAUUAACCGUGUUCACAAACUUCUGGCCUUAUAGUGUAGGCUACAUAAAUGGUCAAUUAUAAUAUAUAUACGUAUGUUAUAUAUGGUUUUCAAUUGCAUUAAAUGUCAUGUAUUAUUGAUUUUUAACUUGUUUCUGUCAAUAUGUAUUAUCAAAUAAUAUUAAAUGUAAUAAAUGGU